GAAUAUUCUCGAGAAUUGAGAUCUUAAUGCAGUGAUAGGAUUACAAAUUCUCAUUGAGAGGUCCUUGAUAAGAGCUGAGUUCGGAUACAUACAAGUGCAUGACUUGAUUCAAUUGAUGGGUAAAAAUAUCGUGAACCAAGAAUCCGAUGAUCCUAAGAGACGUAGCAGACUAUGGCUAUAUGAGGAUGCUCUUGAUGUCCCGUCACGUGACAUGGUAAGACUUGCACAUAAGCUCAAAACUCCGAUUCUCAUCUUUUGACUCAAAUUACUGAACAUGCAUGACUUAAAAAGCCUUGUACAUGCAGGGAGAUUGUGAUGUAAAAGCCAUAAUGUUGA